rnacentral:rRNA from 1 species
UACGGAGGGAGCUAGCGUUGUUCGGAAUUACUGGGCGUAAAGCGCACGUAGGCGGCUUUGUAAGUUAGAGGUGAAAGCCCGGAGCUCAACUCCGGAAUUGCCUUUAAAACUGCAUCGCUUGAAUCCGGGAGAGGUGAGUGGAAUUCCGAGUGUAGAGGUGGAAUUCGUAGAUAUUCGGAAGAACACCAGUGGCGAAGGCGGCUCACUGGACCGGUAUUGACGCUGAGGUGCGAAAGCGUGGGGAGCAAACAGG